rnacentral:misc_RNA from 1 species
AGGUGAACCUGCGGAAGGAUCAUUACCGAGUGCGGGCCCUCGCGGCCCAACCUCCCACCCUUGUCUCUAUACACCUGUUGCUUUGGCGGGCCCACCGGGGCCACCUGGUCGCCGGGGGACGCACGUCUCCGGGCCCGCGCCCGCCGAAGCGCUCUGUGAACCCUGAUGAAGAUGGGCUGUCUGAGUACUGUGAAAAUUGUCAAAACUUUCAACAAUGGAUCUCUUGGUUCCGGCAUCGAUGAAGAACGCAGCGAAAUGCGAUAAGUAAUGUGAAUUGCAGAAUUCCGUGAAUCAUCGAAUCUUUGAACGCACAUUGCGCCCCCUGGCAUUCCGGGGGGCAUGCCUGUCCGAGCGUCAUUUCUGCCCUCAAGCACGGCUUGUGUGUUGGGUGUGGUCCCCCCGGGGACCUGCCCGAAAGGCAGCGGCGACGUCCGUCUGGUCCUCGAGCGUAUGGGGCUCUGUCACUCGCUCGGGAAGGACCUGCGGGGGUUGGUCACCACCAUGUUUUACCACGGUUGACCUCGGAUCAGGUAGGAGUUACCCGCUGAACUUAAGCAUAUCAAUAAGCGGAGGG